UACGUAGGGGGCAAGCGUUGUCCGGAAUCAUUGGGCGUAAAUCGCGUGUAGGCGGCUCGGUAAGUCCGCUCUGAAAGCCCGGGGCUCAACCCCGGGAGGCGGGUGGAUACUGCUGAGCUCGAGUCCGGAAGAGGAGUGUGGAAUUCCUGGUGUAGCGGUGAAAUGCGCAGAUAUCAGGAGGAACACCAAUGGCGAAGGCAGCACUCUGGGACGGUACUGACGCUGAGGAGCGAAAGCGUGGGGAGCGAACAGG
rnacentral:rRNA from 1 species